rnacentral:misc_RNA from 1 species
UUAACUUAUAUAUUACUCAGACAACACAAAAAUCAAGAGUUUAGGGUCCUCUGGCAGGCGCGGACCAGCCGAAGCCAGUGGUCAAGAGACGGGCCUGCCAAAGCAACAAAGGUAAUGUAAACAAAGGGUGGGAGAUCUACCCAGAAGGGCAAUUUCUCUGUAAUGAUCCCUCCGCAGGUUCACCUACGGAGA